rnacentral:rRNA from 1 species
CCUGCAUGAAGUCGGAAUUGCUAGUAAUCGCGGAUCAGCAUGCCGCGGUGAAUACGUUCUCGGGCCUUGUACACACCGCCCGUCACACCAUGGGAGUCGGUAACACCCAAAGUUGGUAGUCUAAACGCAAGGAGGACGCCGCCUAAGGUGGGAUUGAUGACUGGGGUGAAGUCGUAACAAGGUAAC